rnacentral:rRNA from 1 species
UACGGAGGGUGCAAGCGUUAUCCGGAUUCACUGGGUUUAAAGGGUGCGUAGGUGGAUUGGAAAGUCAGUGGUGAAAUCUCCGGGCUUAACCCGGAAACUGCCAUUGAUACUAUCAAUCUUGAAUACCGUGGAGGUCAGCGGAAUAUGUCAUGUAGCGGUGAAAUGCGUAGAUAUGACGUAGAACACCAAUUGCGAAGGCAGCUGGCUGGACCAGUAUUGACGCUGAGGCACGAAAGCGUGGGGAUCAAACAGG